rnacentral:rRNA from 1 species
AACCGGAUUAGAUACCCUGGUAGUCCACGCCGUAAACGAUGUCGACUUGGAGGUUGUGCCCUUGAGGCGUGGCUUCCGGAGCUAACGCGUUAAGUCGACCGCCUGGGGAGUACGGCCGCAAGGUUAAAACUCAAAUGAAUUGACGGGGGCCCGCACAAGCGGUGGAGCAUGUGGUUUAAUUCGAUGCAACGCGAAGAACCUUACCUACUCUUGACAUCCAGAGAACUUUCCAGAGAUGGAUUGGUGCCUUCGGGAACUCUGAGACAGGUGCUGCAUGGCUGUCGUCAGCUCGUGUUGUGAAAUGUUGGGUUAAGUCCCGCAACGAGCGCAACCCUUAUCCUUUGUUGCCAGCGGUCCGGCCGGGAACUCAAAGGAGACUGCCAGUGAUAAACUGGAGGAAGGUGGGGAUGACGUCAAGUCAUCAUGGCCCUUACGAGUAGGGCUACACACGUGCUACAAUGGCGCAUACAAAGAGAAGCGACCUCGCGAGAGCAAGCGGACCUCAUAAAGUGCGUCGUAGUCCGGAUUGGAGUCUGCAACUCGACUCCAUGAAGUCGGAAUCGC